rnacentral:rRNA from 1 species
UAGGGAAUCUUCCGCAAUGGACGAAAGUCUGACGGAGCAACGCCGCGUGAGUGAUGAAGGCUUUCGGGUCGUAAAACUCUGUUGUUAGGGAAGAACAAGUGCUAGUUGAAUAAGCUGGCACCUUGACGGUACCUAACCAGAAAGCCACGGCUAACUACGUGCCAGCAGCCGCGGUAAUACGUAGGUGGCAAGCGUUAUCCGGAAUUAUUGGGCGUAAAGCGCGCGCAGGUGGUUUCUUAAGUCUGAUGUGAAAGCCCACGGCUCAACCGUGGAGGGUCAUUGGAAACUGGGAGACUUGAGUGCAGAAGAGGAAAGUGGAAUUCCAUGUGUAGCGGUGAAAUGCGUAGAGAUAUGGAGGAACACCAGUGGCGAAGGCGACUUUCUGGUCUGUAACUGACACUGAGGCGCGAAAGCGUGGGAGCAAACAGGAUUAGAUACCCUGGUAGUCCACGCCGUAAACGAUGAGUGCUAAGUGUUAGAGGGUUUCCGCCCUUUAGUGC